UACGGAGGAUGCAAGCGUUAUCCGGAAUGAUUGGGCGUAAAGCGUCCGCAGGUGGCUGUGUAAGUCUGCUGUUAAAGAGUCUAGCUCAACUAGAUAAAGGCAGUGGAAACUACACGGCUAGAGUGCGUUCGGGGCAGAGGGAAUUCCUGGUGUAGCGGUGAAAUGCGUAGAGAUCAGGAAGAACACCGGUGGCGAAGGCGCUCUGCUAGGCCGCAACUGACACUGAGGGACGAAGGCCAGGGGAGCAAACGGG
rnacentral:rRNA from 1 species